GAUGAAGAACGUAGCGAAAUGCGAUACUUGGUGUGAAUUGCAGAAUCCCGUGAACCAUCGAGUCUUUGAACGCAAGUUGCGCCCGAAGCCACUAGGCCGAGGGCACGCCUGCCUGGGCGUCACACGCCGUUGCCCCCCCAUCUACUCCUUCGGGAUUGCGGGGGGGCGGAUGAUGGCCUCCUGUGCGCCUAGCCGCGCGGUUGGCAUAAAUACCAAGUCCUCGGCGACGCACGCCACGACAAUCGGUGGUUGCGAAACCUCGGUUGCCCGUCGUGUGCGUUCGUCGCGCAUCGAGGGCUCGAAAAAAUGCUCGGCUCCGGCUGGGCUUUCAACGCGACCCCAGGUCAGGCGGGGUUACCCGCUGAAUUUAAGCAUAUCAAUAAGCGGAGGA
rnacentral:misc_RNA from 1 species